UUCAAGUGAAUGAUAUAUCAGAAGAGAAGAAGAGUUGUUACACCAUAGCUCACUUUGAAGGUUAUGCUAAAACAUGGUGGGAAUAUGUCAAAUGGUUUGGUGAUGAGUUGAUUGAUAGACAACCACCAUCAUGAUUUUGGUUAAGGUAUCUAAUGAGGCAGCGGUAUCUUCCCAAAAGUUAUCAUUAUGAGUUGGUUGCUAGGUUGUACAAUUUGCGACAUGGGAAUCGAAGUGUGAUGGCAUAUUA
rnacentral:lncRNA from 1 species